AGCAGUAUUGAACUGAAGAGUUUGAUCAUGGCUCAGAUUGAACGCUGGCGGCAGGCCUAACACAUGCAAGUCGAGCGGAUGAAGGGAGCUUGCUCCUGGAUUCAGCGGCGGACGGGUGAGUAAUGCCUAGGAAUCUGCCUGGUAGUGGGGGAUAACGUCCGGAAACGGGCGCUAAUACCGCAUAC
rnacentral:rRNA from 1 species